UGUGGAUGCUGAGGUUAUUUAGGCGGAAGAUUGUAAAUCUUUUCACGGAAGGUUUUUCUCCUGCAA
rnacentral:tRNA from 1 species